AUAAAAAUAAGCUAAAAAUAAAGCUCAUGGGUUCAUACCCCAUUAAUAUAAGUUAAAAUCUUUUUUUUUAUA
rnacentral:tRNA from 1 species